rnacentral:lncRNA from 1 species
GCCUUCGUCUCUCCUGCCAGCCUCAGCUGGGUCGUCUUCUGUGCUCGGCGUGCUUUGCUCGGGGAAGCUCAGGUGGCCGCCACAGCCUCUUGCCCUCUGACCUGCAGGUAUCAGGAGAUCCAUAGCUAAGCAGCCUGGACACCCGGGAAGCUGGGAAAUGGUGUGAUUUGUCCAGAUAAUCUCACCUGAGAAGGAAUCCCAGAGAAGAAGGAAGAAGAGGAAGAAAUGGCUGGUUCUCAGGUGAAUGUGUCUGGGUUCAGGGGAUGUGUCUCCUCUUUUCUUCUGGGAUGUUAUGUGUUUAGAACUUGCAAACCUUUAUUUCUGUACUUCUGAUGUACCUGCCUAAUGUGUUUCUUCCCAACUACCUUCCCCCCUUCCCCCCUCCUUUCUUAUGAUUGAUAAGGAACUCUGUAAAAUCCUUCCUCCUGUGUACCAGAACCUUCUCUCCAUUCCCUCCUUCCAGGCUUCUUAUAUGUCAUGACCAAAUCUUACCAUUAAUGUAUGAUGGGCAGUAUUCAGAUGUUCUGUGACAUAUCAACAUGGGAAAGUGUGGAUCCCCAGGAUUAUCCGUGGGGAUGGGGCUGGGUCUUGGGAUGUCAGUGAAGAAGGGGAUCAUGUACCGUUUAGAUUUCAUCCACAUGCUCCAUCAUCUCUAUGCAGAACAGAAUUAAGAAAAGAGACAUUUAAAGAGGAUGGCAUUCAUUGCCUGGAAUAACUUAAAGUUCUGAAAAGAGAAUAAUUAGAAGACAUUUGCUGUCUAGGAUGCUAAAGAAACACUAUUGAAAUACCCUAUUGCAGAUUAAAGAACCAGGGAAACAGCUAUAGCUUGAACUUUGCAUAAAACUGAUGUUUCUGGCCAGGCACUGUGGCUCACACCUGUAAUCCCAGCACUUUGGGAGGCUGAGGCGGGCAGAUCACUUGAGGUCAGGAGUUCAAGACCAGCCUGGCUAACAUGAUGAAACCCCAUCUCUACUAAAAAUACAAAAAUUAACUGGGCAUGGUGGUGCACGCCUGUAAUCCCAGCUAUUUGGGAGGCUGAGGUGGGAGAAUCACUGGAACCUGGGAAGCAGAGGCUGCAGUGAGCCAAGAUUGCACCAUUGCACUCCAGCCUGAGCGACAGAGCAAGACUGUCUCCAAAAAACAAAACAAAAAAAGGAUGUUUCUACAUGAUUAGGUUCAGAUUGUAAUUUACUAUUUUUGUGGUCAAUAAUAUUAGAGCAGUGAUACUUUGUCCUUGAUGUCAUGUGAUCCUUGAUGUCAUUUUAUCCUUGACAUCUUUGAUGUUGAUUUAUCCUAUUAUAGUUGAUCUUAAUUUUAUUUACUUGGUUAAGGUGCUCUCUGCCAGAUUUUUGCACGAUAGAGAUAUUUUUUUCAUUAUUGUUUAGUACCUUGGGGAGAUUUACUGACUGAUACAUAUAAGCCAUCACAUUUAAUUAGGAAGCUCUUCUUUCUUUUUAGAUUCUCCUCGCUUAUAGCUUGCUUUGGAAAAUGAAGGCUCUCGUGUUUGUUUAUUGGUUAGAUAAACUGAAAUAAACACAGGCUCUGCCACUUCCUGCAUGUUUGAAAAAAUAUUUUCCUUGGCCCAGACACAGUGGCAUCACUGUAUGGCUCACUUAGAAAUUCAGAGACUCAGGCUUCACCCUAGGUCCUCUGAAUCACAACCUGCAUUUUAAGAGGAUCUCUAGUUUAUUGUGUACGCAUUAAAAUUUCAGGGGUACCUUCUGAUGAAUCAUGACCUCUACAUAUGAGAAAUAUUUACAGUUUAUCCUGUGUGAGGUAAAUAGAGCAGGAAAAAAUGUAUAUGCCUGCGUUGAUGCCCUUAAUUUUAUACUGUAUUAUUCACAAGAGUAGAAUAUGUACACUGGUUAUGUGGAGCUUAUGCCAUCCUCUUUCUUCAGGAUUAAAGAAUAUGUUAGAGAAUAUUUCUGUGUUUACAAUUAUUUGAUCAUUUCAGUCUCUUCUAUAAGUAAGAACCAGUUCUCUCUGUCUCUCUUUGUGCCUGGAAUCAGAUUAAGAACUCUGCCCAUGACCACUUGAUACGUAUGUGUUUUUUCUUUGCCAGGGACUGUUGAUAUUCAGGGAUGUGGCCAUAGAAUUCUCUCCGGAGGAGUGGAGCUAUCUGGACCCUGCUCAGCAGAAUCUGUAUAGGGACGUGAUGUUAGAAAACUACAGAAACCUGGUCUCCCUGGGUAUUGCUGUCUCUAAGCCAGACCUGAUCACCUGUCUAGAGCAAAGGAAUGAGCCCUGGAAUGUGAAGAAACAUGAGACAGUAGCCAGACACCCAGGUAGGUGGGAGUAAAUGAA